rnacentral:lncRNA from 1 species
ACGGACUGGAAGCAAGGCUAAGGCUGGAGGAUUGUCAAGAUUGCUGUGUUUGCAAUAAGUGAAUUUUCUUUGUGUGUAAGGAAUUAAACAGAGAAAGCAGUGGCUCCCUACAUUCAAGUACAAGAAGAGCAAAGAUGCCAAGUUCCUCAAGUGGCAUUUGGGGUGCUCAGUUAAGACCAGAUAAAAUUAGUUCAGAUGUCCAAAAAGAAGGUUGAAUAGACAUUACAGAAACUGGAAGGAAGGGGACACUUCUGUGCUCCACCAGAAGCCAAAUGGAGCUAACUUACACCUACAGCCUGUCCAGAUUGUGGGCUCAAAGCACAACUAAAUGUCGUUGUUGAAAGGCUCGUGUGUUAAGGUAAAUUGUUAUGCAGUUGUA